AUGGAGGUUGACGGGGUGGCACCCCAGCAUCUGCACAGCCAGAGUGCACGACCUGCAUCGGCCUUGAAUGCAGAAGAGCAGUUCCUUAGGCCCCCCAACCUCAAUCCCCACAUCUGUAAAAUGUGCCAAAGCAACUUUCUCGGUGAAGGUUUUUCAUUUCUCCCAUCCCCUUCCCUCCCCACCCCAUCCAUUAAUAUUAUUCUUUUGAAGAUUCUUCGUUGUCAAGCCGCCAAAGUGGAGAGUGCGAUUGCAGAAGGGGGUGCUUCUCGUUUCAGUGCUUCUUCGGGCGGAGGAGGAAGUAGGGGUGCACCUCAGCACUAUCCCAAGACUGCUGGCAACAGCGAGUUCCUGGGGAAAACCCCAGGGCAAAACGCUCAGAAAUGGAUUCCUGCACGAAGCACUAGACGAGAUGACAACUCCGCAGCAAACAACUCCGCAAAUGAAAAAGAACGACAUGAUGCAAUCUUCAGGAAAGUAAGAGGCAUACUAAAUAAGCUUACUCCUGAGAAGUUUGACAAGCUAUGCCUUGAGCUCCUCAAUGUGGGUGUAGAGUCUAAACUCAUCCUUAAAGGGGUCAUACUGCUGAUUGUGGACAAAGCCCUAGAAGAGCCAAAGUAUAGCUCACUGUAUGCUCAGCUAUGUCUGCGAUUGGCAGAAGAUGCACCAAACUUUGAUGGCCCAGCAGCAGAGGGUCAGCCAGGACAGAAGCAAAGCACAACAUUCAGACGCCUCCUAAUUUCCAAAUUACAAGAUGAAUUUGAAAACCGAACCAGAAAUGUUGAUGUCUAUGAUAAGCGUGAAAAUCCCCUCCUCCCCGAGGAGGAGGAACAGAGAGCCAUUGCUAAGAUCAAGAUGUUGGGGAACAUCAAAUUCAUUGGAGAACUUGGAAAGCUUGAUCUUAUUCAUGAAUCUAUCCUUCAUAAGUGCAUCAAAACACUUUUGGAAAAAAAGAAGAGAGUCCAACUCAAAGAUAUGGGAGAGGAUUUGGAGUGCCUCUGUCAGAUAAUGAGGACAGUGGGACCUAGGUUAGACCAUGAACGAGCCAAGUCCUUAAUGGAUCAGUACUUUGCCCGAAUGUGCUCCUUGAUGUUAAGUAAGGAAUUGCCGGCGAGGAUUCGUUUCCUGCUGCAGGAUACCGUAGAGUUGAGAGAACACCAUUGGGUUCCUCGCAAGGCUUUUCUUGACAAUGGACCAAAGACGAUCAAUCAAAUCCGUCAAGAUGCAGUAAAAGAUCUAGGAGUGUUUAUUCCUGCUCCCAUGGCUCAAGGGAUGAGAAGUGACUUCUUUCUGGAGGGACCGUUCAUGCCACCCAGGAUGAAAAUGGAUAGGGACCCACUUGGAGGACUUGCUGAUAUGUUUGGACAAAUGCCAGGUAGCGGAAUUGGUACUGGUCCAGGAGUUAUCCAGGAUAGAUUUUCACCCACCAUGGGGCGUCAUCGUUCAAAUCAGCUCUUCAAUGGCCAUGGGGGACACAUCAUGCCUCCCACACAAUCGCAGUUUGGGGAGAUGGGAGGCAAGUUUAUGAAAAGCCAGAUUAGCCUGAGGCCUGCUCAGUCUUUCCUAAUGAAUAAAAAUCAAGUGCCAAAGCUUCAGCCCCAGAUAACUAUGAUUCCUCCCAGUGCACAACCACCGCGCACUCAAACACCACCUCUGGGACAGACACCUCAGCUUGGUCUCAAAACUAAUCCACCACUUAUUCAGGAAAAGCCUGCCAAGACCAGUAAAAAGCCACCACCGUCAAAGGAAGAACUGCUUAAAUUAACCGAAACUGUUGUAACCGAAUAUCUGAAUAGUGGGAAUGCAAAUGAAGCUGUCAAUGGUGUAAGAGAGAUGAGGGCUCCUAAACACUUUCUCCCCGAGAUGUUAAGCAAAGUAAUCAUCCUGUCACUAGACAGAAGUGAUGAAGAUAAAGAAAAAGCAAGUUCUUUGAUCAGUUUACUCAAACAGGAGGGGAUAGCCACAAGUGACAACUUCAUGCAGGCUUUCCUGAAUGUAUUGGACCAGUGCCCCAAACUGGAGGUUGACAUCCCCUUGGUGAAAUCAUAUUUAGCACAGUUUGCAGCUCGUGCUAUUAUUUCGGAGCUGGUGAGCAUUUCAGAACUAGCUCAACCACUGGAAAGUGGCACCCAUUUUCCUCUCUUCUUACUUUGUCUUCAGCAAUUAGCUAAAUUACAAGAUCGAGAAUGGUUAACAGAGCUUUUCCAACAAAGCAAGGUCAAUAUGCAGAAAAUGCUCCCAGAAAUCGAUCAGAAUAAGGACCGCAUGUUGGAGAUCUUGGAAGGAAAGGGACUGAGUUUCUUAUUCCCACUCCUCAAAUUGGAGAAGGAACUGUUAAAGCAAAUAAAGUUGGAUCCAUCUCCUCAAACCAUAUAUAAGUGGAUUAAAGAUAACAUCUCUCCCAAACUUCAUGUAGAUAAAGGAUUUGUGAACAUCUUAAUGACUAGCUUCUUACAGUACAUUUCUAGUGAAGUAAACCCACCCAGUGAUGAAACAGAUUCUUCCUCUGCUCCUUCCAAAGAACAGUUAGAGCAGGAAAAACAACUGCUUCUUUCCUUCAAGCCAGUAAUGCAGAAAUUCCUUCAUGAUCACGUUGAUCUACAAGUCAGUGCCCUCUAUGCUCUUCAGGUGCACUGCUACAAUAGCAACUUCCCGAAAGGCAUGUUACUCCGCUUUUUUGUUCACUUCUAUGACAUGGAGAUUAUUGAAGAAGAAGCUUUCUUGGCUUGGAAAGAAGACAUAACCCAAGAGUUUCCAGGGAAAGGCAAGGCUUUGUUCCAGGUGAAUCAGUGGCUAACCUGGCUAGAAACUGCUGAAGAAGAAGAAUCAGAGGAAGAAGCUGACUAAAAGAACCAGCCAAAGCCUUAAAUUGUGCAAAACAUACUGUUGCUAUGAUGUAACUGCAUUUGACCUAACCACUGCGAAAAUUCAUUCCGCUGUAAUGUUUUCACAAUAUUUAAAGCAGAAGCACGUCAGUUAGGAUUUCCUUCUGCAUAAGGUUUUUUUGUAGUGUAAUGUCUUAAUCAUAGUCUACCAUCAAAUAUUUUAGGAGUAUCUUUAAUGUUUAGAUAGUAUAUUAGCAGCAUGCAAUAAUUACAUCAUAAGUUCUCAAGCAGAGGCAGUCUAUUGCAAGGACCUUCUUUGCUGCCAGUUAUCAUAGGCUGUUUUAAGUUAGAAAACUGAAUAGCAACACUGAAUACUGUAGAAAUGCACUUUGCUCAGUAAUACUUGAGUUGUUGCAAUAUUUGAUUAUCCAUUUGGUUGUUACAGAAAAAUUCUUAACUGUAAUUGAUGGUUGUUGCCGUAAUAGUAUAUUGCCUGUAUUUCUACCUCUAGUAAUGGGCUUUAUGUGCUAGAUUUUAAUAUCCUUGAGCCUGGGCAAGUGCACAAGUCUUUUUAAAAGAAACAUGGUUUACUUGCACAAAACUGAUCAGUUUUGAGAGAUCGUAAAUGCCCUUGAAGUGGUCUUUGUGGGUGUGAAACAAAUGGUGAGAAUUUGAAUUGGUCCCUCUUAUUAUAGUAUUGAAAUUAAGUCUACUUAAUUUAUCAAGUCAUGUUCAUGCCCUGAUUUUAUAUACUUGUAUCUAUCAAUAAACAUUGUGAUACUUGAAAAAAAAAAAAAAAAAAAAAAAAA